GCCGGAAUGAUGGAACUGGCAGAUAUACCGGGCUUAAAACUGGGAGGCCCCACAAGGGCCGUGCGGGUUCGAUUCCCGCUCCCGGCA
rnacentral:tRNA from 1 species